rnacentral:rRNA from 1 species
GACGAACGCUGGCGGCGUGCCUAAUACAUGCAAGUAGGACGAGUUGCGAACGGGUGAGUACCGCGUGGUAACCUGCCUAUUAGAGGGGGCUAACUACUGGAAACGGUAGCUAAUACCGCAUACCAUCGGAUGUGCCCAGCUGGUAUUAGCUAGUAGGUGGGGUAACGGCUCCCCUAGGCGACGAUCCCUAGCUGGUAAGCGAGGAUGACCAGGCACACUGGAACGUAGGUACGGUCCAGACUCCUACGGGAGGCAGCAGUGGGGAAUAUUGCACAAUGGGCGCAAGCCUGAUGCAGCCAUGCCGCGUGUAGGAAGAAGGCCUUCGGUUUGUAAAGUACUGUCAGCGGGGAGGCGUUACCCGCAGAAGAAGCACCGGCUAACUCCGUGCCAGCAGCCACGGUAAUAC